rnacentral:misc_RNA from 1 species
GAUGAAGAACGUAGUGAAAUGCGAUAAGUAAUGCGAAUUGCAGAAUUCAGCGAGUCAUCGAAUCUUUGAACGCACAUUGCGCCCGCCAGCAUUCUGGCGGGCAUGCCUGUUCGAGCGUCAUUUCAACCCUCGAGCCCCCCCGGGGGCCUCGGUGUUGGGGGACGGCACACCAGCCGCCCCCGAAAUGCAGUGGCGACCCCGCCGCAGCCUCCCCUGCGUAGUAGCACACACCUCGCACCGGAGCGCGGAGGCGGUCACGCCGUAAAACGCCCAACUUUCUUAGAGUUGACCUCGGAUCAGGUAGGAAUACCCGCUGAACUUAAGCAUAUCAAUAAGCGGAGGA